rnacentral:misc_RNA from 1 species
UCUCCGUUGGUGAACCAGCGGAGGGAUCAUUACCGAGUUUUCAACUCCCAAACCCCUGUGAACAUACCUAUCGUUGCCUCGGCGGGAGAGCCCCGGGCGCUGGCGCAAGCCUCGCACCGGUACCAGGCGCCCGCCGGAGGACCCAAGCAAACCCUUGAAUUCUAAAGAAUCUUCUGAGUACCAUAAGCAAAUAAAUUAAAACUUUCAACAACGGAUCUCUUGGUUCUG